rfam:Ectocarpus siliculosus strain Ec 32, whole genome shotgun sequence assembly, unassigned sequences LGTn
AGGAACGGCCAUACCACGCCGAUCGCACCACAUCCCGUCCGCUCUGUGAAGUUAAGCGGCGUCGGGCCAGGCUAGUACUACGGUGGGGGACCACGUGGGAAGCCCUGGUGCUGUUCCUU